rnacentral:rRNA from 1 species
AUCAUAUGCUUGUCUCAAAGAUUAAGCCAUGCAUGUCUCAGUACAAACCAAAUUAAGGUGAAACCGCGAAAGGCUCAUUAAAUCAGUUAUGGUUCCUUAGAUCGUACCCACAUUUACUUGGAUAACUGUGGUAAUUCUAGAGCUAAUACAUGCAAACAGAGCUCCGACCGGAGACGGAAGGAGUGCUUUUAUUAGAUCAAAACCAAUCGGCGGCGGUGUCUUUGCGAUGCCGUUCGUCGCAUUGUUUGGUGACUCUGAAUAACUUUUGGCUGAUCGCACGGUCUUGCACCGGCGACGCAUCUUUCAAAUGUCUGCCUUAUCAACUGUCGAUGGUAGGUUCUGCGCCUACCAUGGUUGUAACGGGUAACGGGGAAUCAGGGUUCGAUUCCGGAGAGGGAGCCUGAGAAACGGCUACCACAUCCAAGGAAGGCAGCAGGCGCGCAAAUUACCCACUCCCGGCACGGGGAGGUAGUGACGAAAAAUAACGAUACGGGACUCAUCCGAGGCCCCGUGAUCGGAAUGAGUACACUUUAAAUCCUUUAACAAGGACCCAUUGGAGGGCAAGUCUGGUGCCAGCAGCCGCGGUAAUUCCAGCUCCAAUAGCGUAUAUUAAAGUUGUUGCGGUUAAAAAGCUCGUAGUUGAACUUGUGUCCCGCGCUGUCGGUUCACAGCCCGCUGUGUUAACUGGCACGUCUCGCGGGACGUCCUGCCGGUGGAUGUGUUUUGUUCAUAGUGUGUCGUUUAACUAUGCUCAUUAUGUUCAAACUAUCCUACAACGAAUCCUGUCGCGGUGCUCUUAAUUGAGUGUCUCGGUGGGCCGGCACGUUUACUUUGAACAAAUUAGAGUGCUCAAAGCAGGCUAAAAUUUCGCCUGAAUACUGUGUGCAUGGAAUAAUGGAACAGGACCUCGGUUCUAUUUUGUUGGUUUUCGGAACUUCGAGGUAAUGAUUAAUAGGGACAGAUGGGGGCAUUCGUAUUGCGACGUUAGAGGUGAAAUUCUUGGAUCGUCGCAAGACGGACAGAAGCGAAAGCAUUUGCCAAAAAUGUUUUCAUUAAUCAAGAACGAAAGUCAGAGGUUCGAAGGCGAUCAGAUACCGCCCUAGUUCUGACCAUAAACGAUGCCAGCUAGCGAUCCGCCGACGUUCCUCCGAUGACUCGGCGGGCAGCUUUCGGAAAACCAAAGCAUUUGGGUUCCGGGGGAAGUAUGGUUGCAAAGCUGAAACUUAAAGGAAUUGACGGAAGGGCACCACCAGGAGUGGAGCCUGCGGCUUAAUUUGACUCAACACGGGAAAAUUUACCAGGUCCAGACACCGGAAGGAUUGACAGAUUGAGAGCUCUUUCUUGAUUCGGUGGGUGGUGGUGCAUGGCCGUUCUUAGUUGGUGGAGUGAUUUGUCUGGUUAAUUCCGAUAACGAACGAGAUACUAACCUGCUAACUAGGCGUUACUUACCGGUAUCUCGAAGGCUCGCGGGUCUCGUAACUGGCAUAUCGUUCCUCUACACGUUUUUGAUCGCUUCUGUGGUCAUCUGCGUGCAUGUCGGUAUUGUUGGCCGAGAUUUCGCGGUUUUUACUACCGGCGUACAAUUGAAUCUUCUUAGAGGGACAGGCGGCUUCUAGCCGCACGAGAUUGUGCAAUAACAGGUCUGUAAUGCCCUUAGAUGUUCUGGGCCGCACGCGCGCUACACUGAAGGAAUCAACGUGUCCUCCCUGGCCGAAUGGUCCGGGUAACCCGCUGAACCUCCUUCGUGCUAGGGAUUGGGGCUUGCAAUUUUUCCCCAUGAACGAGGAAUUCCCAGUAAGCGCGAGUCAUAAGCUCGCGUUGAUUACGUCCCUGCCCUUUGUACACACCGCCCGUCGCUACUACCGAUUGAAUGAUUUAGUGAGGUCUUCGGACUGAUACACGGCUCGUGUUUCGACAUGGCCGGAGACUUUGGGAAGAUGACCAAACUUGAUCAUUUAGAGGAAU